rnacentral:lncRNA from 1 species
AGCGUAGAUUAGUGGUUGCCACUGACCGAGGAAGAAUACAGUCUAUUAGUCAGGGUUCUCCAGAGAAACAGAACUGGUAAGAUAGACAUAUCAGCACACACAGACUUAUGAUGAGCUGACUCACAUGAUUAUGGAGGAUGAGCAAUCCCACUGUCUACCACCUCACUCUGGAAACCUAGGAAAACUGGUGGAAUAAUUCAUUUUGAAUCUCAAGUUCUGAGAACGGGGGUUGCUGUGGUUUAAAUUCUAGGGAUGAGAUGUGCCAACUCAGCAGGCAGGCGGGAAGCAAAAAGUAGUGAAUUCCUUCUUGUUCCGCCUUUUGCUCUCCAGGCCCUCGAGGUAGAUGUUGCCCACCCACAGUGGGGAGGGCAAUUUACUUCACUGAGUCCAUCUAUUUAAAUGCUAAUUUCAUCUGGAAACUCUUUCACAGACACACCCAGAAAUAUUGUUUAAUCUGGGCACCCUGUGGUCAGUCAAAUGGACACAUAAAAUUAACCACCACAGAGAGUGACUGCUAGUGGUGUGAGGUUUCUUUUUGGGGUGAUAAAAAUGCUCUUAAAUUAGAUAGUGGUGAUGUUUGUAUAACUUUAUGAAUAUGCUAAAAACCACUGACCUAGGUACUUUAUAAGGAUGAAUUUUAUAGUAUGUGAAUUACAUCAACAAAAAAACUGCAUGGAAAAAAUUUACUUUAUAGCUUAUACUGAGAAGUAAAUUUCCUUCAUCAUUUUUAGCCCAAACUUCAGGAAAAUAUUUUUAAAGGGCCAUUUUGUUGUAUAAUUGACAUAACAUGAAAUGACUUCAUAAGAGAAAAACAAGAAAAUAGAGUUUUUUGUUUUUUGGGGUUUUUUUUGUGUGCUUUUUAGGGCCACACCUGCAGCAUAUGGAAGUUCCCAGGCUAGGGGUCUAAUCGCAGCUGUAGCCACCGGCCUACACCAGAGCCACAGCAAUGCAGGAUCCAAGCUGCGUCUUUGACCUACACCACAGCUCACGUCAACCCCAGAUCCUUAACCCACUGAGCAAGGCCAGGGAUCGAACCCAAACUUCAUGGUUCCCAGUUGGAUUUGUUAACCACUGAGCCCCGACGGGAACUCCUCUACCUUUAUUUUAUAGUGGACAUUUUUAUAAAAUGUUCUUGGAUUUAUAGUCAUGAUUCUGUUAAUUUAUUAUUUAGUAUAACAUGUGAGGGUCCUAAUUGCUUGUGAAUAGCAUUUAACAGAAAUAUAAAAUUGAAGAAACUUAAAAGCCAUUUGAAUCUAUCUUGUUGCUUUGAAUAUUUUCUACUAUAUUUCAAGAUGGUCAUUAGCAUAGAAAGCUGCUGAUUCCAUCUUUGCACAGUAUAAUUAUUAGGAGGUUAUUUAUUGUAUUGAGAAAUCUCACUUCUUAAUCCACUUCUGAUAUUUGCCUCUUUGCCUUAGCUCUCCCUUCUAGAGUGGCACCUUCCACCCACCUGUCUUUUAUUUAGCACCCACUAUAGCAUUGACUACAGUAGCCAUGAUGCCUGCCUUCUUGGUGCCUGAAUUCUAGUGGCAGAGGAAAGACAUUAAAAAGCUGAUUAUCCAGUUAAAUGUUGAAUUACAAUUGCCAUUUCUGUUAAGAAGGAAAGAUCCAGACUGCUUAGAGUGUGAUGUACAAGGCACUAGUUGGGGUGACAGGGAGUGGCGCAGGCGGGGGCUUGUUUGAGGAGAUACUGCUUGAGUUGAGAGCUGAAAUAUAGGUAGGAACUAUUUCAGGGACUCUGAGGUACUGGAAGGGAAAGAGAGAGCCAUCUGUACCAGGGGGAGGGUGCAUGAAGAUCCCUCAGGAGGAAAGUAGAUUGGUGGUUUCAAGAAAGUUGAAAAAAAGGCCAGUGCAGUCUUUGUUGUUGUCGUAGUUGUUAUUGACUCACUAGUUUGUUGGACAUGGAAAUGAUCUAAUUAUGAUUUAUAUUUUAUUUAACUUUUAUAUAACUUCAUUUUAAAUUGAGGAAAAAGUUAGGAAAUGGUAUAAAUUGAUGUAUCCUCUUAAACACUCUGAUGAUAGUGUUUGCUAGAUAGAAUAUGGUCUAGUUCAAUUUCUAAGCCAUUUAUUCUUUUUUAUUAAUUUAAGACUCCUCAAAUAUUUUAUGAUAUCUGAACAUUUUAGUUUUACUUCAGUUAUUUGAAGCUUACCCUUUCAUUUGUUAAUUUAUUCCUUGGGUUGUCAUGACUGUUUAUAUACUGAUGGAUUAAUUAUAUUCACACACAUAACAGAAAAUGAGGCAUCUGGAACAGCCAAGAAGCCAGAGAAAUCAGAAUGUUUGUCAUGUGAGGGGAAAUGUGCUUGGCGGAAGCCCAGACUGCGUUGGUGAAAAUGCAUGUAAAGAUCCUUCAUAUUCUUCAGUAUGUGAAGACAACUUUUUAUAUCAAGUUCUAAAUGUGCUGCUCAUUUCAUAAACCAAGUACAAUAAUGAUAUUAUUAACACUAACAUCUCUCUUUUAGAUCCUUUGUUUUUCUUUUCUUUUUUUUUUUUUCCGCUUUCUGUUUUUCUUUUCUGUUUAACUUGUUACCAGGGAUACUAUUUAAUUUUUUAAAAACAGCUGGUUGUAUCGGAGCUAUUUUGAAAGGAACUUGUACCAAAAGCUUGCCAGCAGAUGUGGGUCCUGUGUUUGCUGAAGUAACUGACUUUAGGUUCUUUGGAACCUAGAAGACAGCCUUAUGGAUUUUAGUUUCCCUUCCCCAUCUCAGCAUUCUAAGGCCCCCAGUCAUUAGUGUUCCUAUAAAAGUCCCUUAAUUUGUUAGUUACCUCUCUAGAAACAUUUUCACUUAGAUGUUUAAUGCCUUUUUAGCUUGAAGAGCCCUUCUGGAGAGUGUCUAUUCCAUGGAUAGCUUACACUUGGGCUGCACUUCUAUUUAUUCCUUAUGAUCUUCCCUGAACUUUUUUUUUUUAAUCUUCCCUGAACUUUAAUAUUAUGUUUGUACAGUCUCUUAAAAAACCCAAAUACUCUGUAUUUGCAGUAUUUUUCAUACAUUUUAAUACAAAUGUAAAAUCUUUUUUUAUUUCAAUUUUCUCAAAAUAUAAACUCCUCUUGAGAUGUAGCAUUUAUAUAUACUUCUUUCUGCAAAUUUGUUCUUCUUUCUUUAAUUACUACAAGAACCAGUGUUUGAUUUGUUCAUUCUUGUACAUGUUUGACUUUUAGUCACAUUCUGACAUGAAAGAGAAGUACGGACUGUGUCUUGCACAAAGCUGGUGGUGCUUUUAAUAAAGAAGAAUUUGCCAUUGUACAUUUCUGCUGUUCAUUCAGUAAAUAGUAUCGAAUACCUAAUGUUGCCAGGUACUGUUUUAGAAGCUGAAGUUUCAGCAGUGAAUGAAACAUAAAAAUCCCCAUCCUCAUGGACUUUCUCGUGGUUAUUAACAAUGAUGAUACAUAAAGUUUGUUGCUUUUAGGAGAUCAUAGUCAUUUAAAAAAAGUCUUUGGGUAUUAGGUAGAUUUUUGAGUGUAUGUGUAUACUUUCUUGUUUAAACAAAUAAUGUUUGGAUAAUAUGUUAUGGUCACACAGAUACUAUAAAGAUGAUGAGUAUGGGAAAAGUAUGGUCUUUAUUGUCAGAUUGACCUGAGUUUGAAUUCUAGUUUUUCUACUUAUAUUCAUUUUGCUGUGUAGUCUUGGAUAUCUUAACUUCUCUGAGCCGUAGUCUACUA